rnacentral:other from 12 species
GGCGACACUCCACCAUAGAUCACUCCCCUGUGAGGAACUUCCUGUCUUCACGCAGAAAGCGUCUAGCCAUGGCGUUAGUAUGAGUGUCGUGCAGCCUCCAGGACCCCCCCUCCCGGGAGAGCCAUAGUGGUCUGCGGAACCGGUGAGUACACCGGAAUUGCCAGGACGACCGGGUCCUUUCUUGGAUUAACCCGCUCAAUGCCUGGAGAUUUGGGCGUGCCCCCGCGAGACUGCUAGCCGAGUAGUGUUGGGUCGCGAAAGGCCUUGUGGUCCUGCCUGAUAGGGUGCUUGCGAGUGCCCCGGAAGGUCUCGUAGUUCGUGCUUCAUGAAAAUCCUCAACCUCA